AAGCAAGAUAUUAAGAGUGGAUGGUGGAUGCCUUGGGUAGUAGAGGCGAUGAAGGACGCACUAGACUGCGAUAAGCUACGGGGAGCUGUCAAGAAGCAUUGAUCCGUAGGUGUCCGAAUGGGGCAACCCAAUCCACAGCAAUGUGGAUUACUCUAUUUAUAGAGAGCGAACCUAGCGAAGUGAAACAUCUCAGUAGCUAGAGGAAAAGAAAUCAAGUGAGAUUCCCUCAGUAGUGGCGAGCGAAAGGGGAAGAGGGCAAACCGGGUGCUUGCACUCGGGGUUGAGGACGGCAACAUUCAAGGGGUUUUUCUAGCAAAGUUGUUUGGAAAGACAAGCCAUAGAAGGUGAUAGCCCUGUAUGCGAAAGGAAAACCCUAGAUAGCCGGAUCCAGAGUAGGCCAGGACACGGGAAAUCCGGGCUGAAGCCGGGGAGACCACUCUCCAACCCUAAAUACUACU
rnacentral:rRNA from 1 species